rnacentral:rRNA from 1 species
CAGGCGGCGUCUACACUGCAGUCGUACGGUAACAGCCAGAAGCUUGCUUCUUUGCUGACGAGUGGCGGACGGGUGAGUAAUGUCUGGGAAACUGCCUGAUGGAGGGGGAUAACUACUGGAAACGGUAGCUAAUACCGCAUAACGUCGCAAGACCAAAGAGGGGGACCUUCGGGCCUCUUGCCAUCGGAUGUGCCCAGAUGGGAUUAGCUUGUUGGUGGGGUAACGGCUCACCAAGGCGACGAUCCCUAGCUGGUCUGAGAGGAUGACCAGCCACACUGGAACUGAGACACGGUCCAGACUCCUACGGGAGGCAGCAGUGGGGAAUAUUGCACAAUGGGCGCAAGCCUGAUGCAGCCAUGCCGCGUGUAUGAAGAAGGCCUUCGGGUUGUAAAGUACUUUCAGCGGGGAGGAAGGGAGUAAAGUUAAUACCUUUGCUCAUUGACGUUACCCGCAGAAGAAGCACCGGCUAACUCCGUGCCAGCAGCCGCGGUAAUACGGAGGGUGCAAGCGUUAAUCGGAAUUACUGGGCGUAAAGCGCACGCAGGCGGUUUGUUAAGUCAGAUGUGAAAUCCCCGGGCUCAACCUGGGAACUGCAUCUGAUACUGGCAAGCUUGAGUCUCGUAGAGGGGGGGUAGAAUUCGAGGUGUAGCGGUGAAAUGCGUAGAGAUCUGGAGGAAUACCGGUUGGCCGAAAGGCGGCCCUCUGGACGAAGACUGACGCUCAGUGCGAAAGGCGUGGGGGAGCAACAGGAUUAGAUACCCUGGUAGUCCACGCCGUAACGAUGUCGACUUGGAGUUGUGCCUUUGAGGCGUGCUUCCGGAGCUAACGCGUUAAGUCCGACGGCUUGGGAGUACGCGCAGUUAGACUCAAAUUGAAAUGGACGGGGCCGGCACAGCGGGGGGAGCAUUGUGGUUUAAAUAUCGA